rnacentral:rRNA from 1 species
CCCCAGCGCCACAAGUGGGGGCCAUAUUUAUUGGGCCUAAAGCGUCCGUAGCCUGCUUUGUAAAUCUUUUGUGAAAUCAUCUCGCUUAACGUGAUGAAUGGCAGAAGACACUGCAAAGCUUGGGACCGGGAGGGGCUAGAGGUAUUGCUGGGGUAGCGGUAAAAUGUUAUAAUCCCAGCAAGACCACCUGUGGCGAAGGCGUCUAGCUAACACGGUUUCGACGGUGAGGGACGAAAGCUAGGGGA